ACCUGGGUGGCUCAGUCGGUUGAGCAUCUGACUUUGGCUCAGGUCAUGAUCUCGCGAUUUGUGGGUUCGAGCCCCAUGUCGGGCU
rfam:Felis catus isolate Cinnamon breed Abyssinian chromosome A1, whole genome shotgun sequence.